rnacentral:rRNA from 1 species
CCUACGGGAGGCAGCAGUGAGGAAUAUUGGUCAAUGGGCGCGAGCCUGAACCAGCCAAGUCGCGUGAGGGAAGACGGUCCUAUGGAUUGUAAACCUCUUUUGUCGGGGAGCAAAAGACGCCACGCGUGGCGUUCCGAGAGUACCCGAAGAACAAGCAUCGGCUAACUCCGUGCCAGCAGCCGCGGUAAUACGGAGGAUGCGAGCGUUAUCCGGAUUUAUUGGGUUUAAAGGGUGCGCAGGCGGAAGAUCAAGACAGCGGUAAAAUUGAGAGGCUCAACCUCUUCGAGCCGUUGAAACUGGUUUGCUUGAGUGAGUGAGAAGUAUGCGGAAUGCGUGGUGUAGCGGUGAAAUGCAUAGAUAUCACGCAGAACUCCGAUUGCGAAGGCAGCAUACCGGCGCUCAACUGACGCUCAUGCACGAAAGUGUGGGUAUCGAACAGGAUUAGAUACCCGUGUAGUC